UGACCUUGUUGGUACUUUAAGGUUGGUCCAAUCCAUAGGCUUUUUUUGUGAAAACCCGGGGAUCGGACUAGCCUUAGAGUAACUCAAGGCCA
rnacentral:pre_miRNA from 1 species